GACGAACGCUGGCGGCGUGCCUAAUACAUGCAAGUUGAACGCUUGAUUUUCACCGAAGCUUGCUUCACCGAAAAUCAAGAGUAGCGAACGGGUGAGUAACGCGUGGGUAACCUACCUUUCAGCGGGGGAUAACUAUUGGAAACGAUAGCUAAUACCGCAUAACAAUGUUGGAUGCAUAUUCGACAUUUGAAAGUAUCAAUUGGUACACUGAGAGAUGGACCCGCGUUGUAUUAGCUAGUUGGUAGUGUAAUGGACUACCAAGGCGAUGAUACAUAGCCGACCUGAGAGGGUGAUCGGCCACAUUGGGACUGAGACACGGCCCAAACUCCUACGGGAGGCAGCAGUAGGGAAUCUUCGGCAAUGGACGAAAGUCUGACCGAGCAACGCCGCGUGAGUGAAGAAGGUUUUCGGAUCGUAAAACUCUGUUGUUAGAGAAGAACGUUGCAUAGAGUGGAAAAUUAUGCAAGUGACGGUAUCUAACCAGAAAGGGACGGCUAACUACGUGCCAGCAGCCGCGGUAAUACGUAGGUCCCGAGCGUUGUCCGGAUUUAUUGGGCGUAAAGCGAGCGCAGGUGGUUUAAUAAGUCUGAUGUAAAAGGCAGUGGCUCAACCAUUGUGU
rnacentral:rRNA from 1 species